GAUAAACGCUGGCGGCGUGCCUAAUACAUGCAAGUCGAGCGGGAUUGGCGGAUCGCAAGUGAUGCCAGUCUAGCGGCGGACGGCUGAGUAACACGUGGGUGACCUGCCUUGAAGUGGGGAAUAACGGUUCGAAAGAAUCGCUAAUACCGCAUACGAUCGCAGCUUCAUUGUUGCGAUCAAAGCCGCAAGGCGCUUCGAGAGGGGCCUGCGGCCGAUUAGCUAGUUGGUGGGGUAACGGCCUACCAAGGCUCCGAUCGGUAGCUGGUCUGAGAGGAUGAUCAGCCAGACUGGGACUGAGACACGGCCCAGACUCCUACGGGAGGCAGCAGUAAGGAAUUUUCCACAAUGGGCGAAAGCCUGAUGGAGCAACGCCGCGUGGGCGAAGAAGGCCUUCGGGUCGUAAAGCCCUUUUCUAGGGGACGAUAAUGACGGUACCCUAGGAAUAAGCCACGGCUAACUACGUGCCAGCAGCCGCUGUAACAC
rnacentral:rRNA from 1 species